rnacentral:rRNA from 1 species
CCUACGGGUGGCAGCAGUGAGGAAUAUUGGUCAAUGGGCGGAAGCCUGAACCAGCCAAGUAGCGUGCGGGAUGAAGGCCCUACGGGUCGUAAACCGCUUUUGCACGGGGAUAACACCCUCCACUUGUGGAGGUCUGCAGGUACCGUGCGAAUAAGGGCCGGCUAAUUCCGUGCCAGCAGCCGCGGUAAUACGGAAGGCCCGAGCGUUAUCCGGAUUCAUUGGGCUUAAAGGGAGCGUAGGCGGGCGUUCACGUCAGCGGUAAAAUUGAGAGGCUCAACCUCUUCGAGCCGUUGAAACUGGUUUUCUUGAGUGAGUGAGAAGUAUGCGGAAUGCGUGGUGUAGCGGUGAAAUGCAUAGAUAUCACGCAGAACUCCGAUUGCGAAGGCAGCAUACCGGCGCUCAACUGACGCUCAUGCACGAAAGUGUGGGUAUCGAACAGGAUUAGAUACCCCAGUAGUC